CCCGUAACUUAGGGAGAAGGGGUCCCUCCGACUUAAAUCGGAGGGCGCAGUGAAUUGGCCCGAGCGACUGUUUAACAAAAACACAGGUCUCUGCAAAAGCGUAAGCUGAAGUAUAGGGGCUGACACCUGCCCAGUGCCGGAAGGUUAAGGGGAGAGGUUAGUCCUUCUUCGGAAGGACGAAGCUUUGAACUGAAGCCCCGGUGAACGGCGGCCGUAACUAUAACGGUCCUAAGGUAGCGAAAUCCCUUGUCGGGUAAGUUCCGACCCGCACGAAUGGUGUAACGACUUGGACGCUGUCUCAACGAGGGGCUCGGCGAAAUUGAAAUACCUGUGCAGAUGCAGGUUACCCGCGACAGGACAAAAAGACCCCGUGGAGCUUUACUAUAGUUUGGCAUGGAAUUGAGGCUGGUCAUGUGUAGCAUAGGUGGAAGGCUUUGAAACCCUCACGCUAGUGGGGGUGGAGCCGACAAUUGAAAUACCACUCUUGUCCGGUUUUGAUCCUAACCCCAUCACCAAAUGGGGGACAGUGCCUGAUGGGUAGUUUGACUGGGGCGGUCGCCUCCUAAAAGGUAACGGAGGCGCCCAAAGGUCCCCUCAGCACGGAUGGAAACCGUGCAUUGAGUGUAUUGGCAUAAGGGGGCUUGACUGCGAGACCUACAAGUCGAGCAGGGACGAAAGUCGGGCAAAGUGAUCCCACGGUACCGUGUGGAAGGGCCGUGGCUUAUCGGAUAAAAGCUACCCCGGGGAUAACAGGCUUAUCUUGCCCAAGAGUUCACAUCGACGGCAAGGUUUGGCACCUCGAUGUCGGCUCGUCGCAUCCUGGNNNNNNNNNNGGAGCUCUCUCUAGUACGAGAGGACCGAGAGGGACAGACUUCUGGUGUGCCAGUUGUUCCGCCAGGGGCAUUGCUGGGUAGCCAAGUCUGGAAGGGAUAAGCGCUGAAAGCAUCUAAGUGCGAAGCCCCCCCCAAGAUGAGAUCUCCCACUCCUCGAGCGAUCGGGGAGGUAAGACCGCAGAUAGACUAUCUGCUUGAUAGGCGGUAGGUGUAAGGCUGGUAACAGUCUCAGCU
rnacentral:rRNA from 1 species